UUUUUUUCCUUCUUCAAAGCAUUUGGGACAUCCUAUACAGAUUUCUCCUGGUUAAGGGAACCACGUGCAUCAGGUAACUACGUGGCCCCAGGAGAGGAUGGAACCACAUGGCUCCAGAGAUGGCAGCGGACAGAGCAAAAUGAGUAUUUCCGGGACCAAGCUGGGAGCUGAAGUACUAUGAUGGAGAAGCAGUGGUGGAAUGAUGGAGGAUUUCAUGCACCAAACCUUUUGGAUCCAGAGGAGGGGUUCCUGGAGAAUCCUGAAUUCCUGGCCCAAGCAUGAGCAGCAAAUGACAUCACCAUGAUGUAAAACAGAGGUGUCAGACACACAGCCUACAAGCUGCACGUGGCCGACAACGCUCCUGAGUGUUGCGUGAACCAGAUUAAAAUGUAAUUGGGAAAUAUUUUAAUAAAUAAAUUAAAAAACAAUAUUACAUUUUAGAACAAA